GACGAACGCUGGCGGCGUGCUUAACACAUGCAAGUCGAACGAAGUGGCGAACGGGUGAGUAACGCGUAAUCAACCUGCCCUUCAGAGGGGGACAACAGUUGGAAACGACUGCUAAUACCGCAUACUGAAGGAGGGGAUUGCGUCUGAUUAGCUGGUUGGAGGGGUAACGGCCCCCCAAGGAGAUGAUCAGUAGCCGGUCUCAUAGGCGGACCGGCAACACUGGGAUGGAGACACGGCCCAGACUCCUACGGAAGGAAGCAGUGGGGAAUCUUCCGCAAUGGACGAAAGUCUGACGGAGCAACGCCGCGUGAGUGAUGACGGCCUUCUGGUUGUAAAGCUCUGUUAAUCGGGACGCGUUACCGGAAUAGAAAGCCACGGCUAACUACGUGCCAGCAGCCGCGGUAAUAC
rnacentral:rRNA from 1 species